rnacentral:lncRNA from 1 species
AGCUGCAGCUCCAAUUCCACCCCUAGCCUGGGAACUUCCAUAUGCCAUAGGCGUGGCCCUAAAAACAAAAAUACAUAAAAAAAGAAAAGAAUGUAUAUUAAUUAUGUAAACCUUUUAAAUACAGAAAAUGGAAGGAAAAAAUAAUUUACCACCAAAGAUAAUGCACUAUACACAAUUUUGGUGUUUUUUUCCCAGAUAUUUUUCCUUGUGAAUAUAUACAUUAUGUAUGUAAUACAAGUAGUAUUAUAUCUCAAUAUAAUUAUUUUUUCAUUUACUAUUAUUUAAUCAGCAUUUUCCCUUUCCAUUAAAUGUUUUCCUACAUCAUGAUUUUUAUUGAGUUGAUAUUAAUUCAUUUAUUCAAUUAAUAUUUAUUAUGGAGUCUACAUAAUACAUUCUAUGAAGGAAUAAUACUUUAAUGAUACAUUAUUAUUAGACAGAUUAGUUUGUUAUUUAGUUCUUAUGUAUAAAGUUCACAUAAAUAACUAUACAUAAAUCUUUGGUUUCUUCUCUGGAAAUUCCCAUAGGGCAUGUAAUAGAAUUGGAAAUCCUGGAUCUGAUCAUACAUGUAUUUGUAAGGCUUUCAUAUAUUUUGUCAAACUGAACUCCAGAAAGAUUAUAUCAUUUUGUGGUGUAAAGUGCAUGAGAUAGCCAUCUUACCGAUAAUGGCUAAUAUUAAAUAUUAUCCUUUGAAAAGACUUUAUCAAUUUAAAAGGCAAAAAUAUACAUUAUAUUCAUUGGUAUUGAUAUGUCUCUUCAAUUUGUACUAGUCAUACCAUUUUAUUUUAUUUUUUUAUUUUUUUUUAAUUCUGAAAUUUUAUUUUUAUUUUUUACAGAAUAGAAUACAUACAUUUAAACACAAUUACAUUCACACAGAUUAUUAUAUCAUGGAUCUUAAGAAACAGAUUAAGUGACUCCCUCUGGAGAAGUGGAAUGGAAAAUAUGCUGAGACAAAUAGGAAAUUUAUUCUAUACUUUAUCCCUUUUUGUAUGGCUUUCAUCCUUACUAUUACAUUUUAUCUAUAACAUUUCAAUUUUUCUUUAAGUAUUAGUAUUAUAUUAAAAUUGUGUGUAUUGUGCAACUAAAAUUUACAAAGAAGAAAGCCUUAUAUACCAUUAAAUAUUUUAUAUAGCAUAAUAAAAAGAAUAACUUAACUGGUAGGAAUAACAAAAAUAAUACACCCUCUGAAAAUAAGUAAAAUAUAAAAUGCAUAAAUUGGUUAAAAAACAGUGUAACUAUAUAAAUAUGUCCUCACAAUUUGUUACAUCUUAUUGAUUCUUCAAUAUAGGCAUUACACCAUUCUAGGUGAUGUGAUAAACAAGACAUUAUAGAGCUUACAUGGUACCAUGGAGAGAAAUGGUUAUUAAUAGUACAAUUGUAGAACUGUAUUAUUUAAUUGUACAGUUGCAUUAUUUAAUUAUAAUUAUCAUAAAUUCAUUGAUGGAGAGGAAAUCAGAAUCAGAUGUAAGAAGACUUCAGCAUUCCAAGAAUGAUGUCGAAUGACCCCCUUCAUGGUGGAUUAUGCCCUUAUUUACGAUGAAAUAUUCUUCAGAGAUUCCUUGUUUGUGUAUCAAUUGUAUUUUUGGUUUGCAGUUAUUCUGAAGUUUUGAUAUAAGAGUCUAUACGUAUAUGAGAUGGUUUUAAGUUGUUGUUCUCUUAAUUGCAAGUUCAUCUCCAGUGCCCUGCAUUUGUACCCACCUCUUCUCAUGAUUUCUGAUGUUGGUGGUAUAAUUGUGCAUGGAUGAUUUCGUAUCUUUACUGUGUAUAUACCUUUACUGGUGAGCCUUGUCAUUUGUGUUAUUUUUGUUUCCUGUUGCUGUGUUUUCUUUUCUGCCUAGAGAAGAUCCUUUAGUAUUUGUUGUAAGGCUGGUUUAGCAUUGCUGAAUUCCCUCAGUUUUUGCUUAUCUGUGAAGGUUUUGCUUUCUCCUUCAAAUCUGAAUGAGAGCCUUGCUGGGUAAAGGAAUCUUGGUUGGAGGUUUUUUCCUUUCAUCAUGUUGAGUAUAUCAUGCCACUCCCUUGUGGCCUGCAGAGUUUCUGCUGAAAAAUCUGCCGAUAACCUUAUUGGGGUUCCCUUGUAUGUUACUUGUUUCUUUUCCCUAGCUGCUUUCAAGAUUUUGUCUUUGUCUUUAAUUUUGGUCAGUUUGAUUAAUGUGUGUCUUGGGGUAUUCCUCCUUGGGUUUAUUUUAUGUGGUACUCGUUGUGCUUGCUGGAUUUGAGUGAGUGAUUCCUUUCCCAUGUGAGGCAAGUUUUUGGCUGUUAUCUCUUGGAAUAUUUUUUCUGUCUCCUUCUCUCUCUCUUCUCCUUCUGGCAUCCCUAUAAUACGGAUGUUGGUGCGUUUCACAUUGUCCCAGAGUUCUCUGAGACUCUCUUCAUUUGUUUUCAAUCUUUUUUCUCUUUCUGUUCCGCAUCCGUAAUUUCCACGAAUCUGUCCUCCACCUCACUUAUUGGUUGUUGUGCCUCCUGUCUUCUGCUGUUAGCUGCUUCUAGUGAGUUUUUUAUUUCAGUUAUUGUAUUUUGCAUCUCUUCUUGGUUAAGUUUUAUAUCUUGUAUCUCUUUGGUCAGUGUUUCCUGUAAGUUAUCCAUCUUUGCCUCCAGUUUAUGUCCAAUGUCUUGCAUCACCUUCAGCAUCAACAGUCUAAAGCCUUUUUCCUGGAGGCUGAGAAUCUCCUCAUCACUUAGCUGUUUUUCUGGGGUUUUUCCUUUCUCCCUCACCUGAGUUAUAGUUCUCUGUCUUUUCAUGUGUAUAGGUUUUUGGUGUGGUGACCUUUUUAUGGAUAAUAGAGCUGUAGCCUCUCUUACUUCGGGUGUCUGCCCCCUUGUGGCUGAAGUCAGUAUGGGGGUUUGCUUGUAGGCUUCCUGAUGGGAGGGGCUGAUGCCUGCCCCCUGGUGGGUGGAGCCGAUUCUAAUCCCUCUGUUGGGUGGGGCUUAGUCUCUGGAUGGGAUUAGAGGCAGCUGUGUGCCUGGGGGGUCUUUAGGCAGCCUGUUUCCUGAGGGGUGGGGCUGUGAUCCCACCUGGGUUGUUGUUUGCCCUGGGGCUUCUCAGCAUCUGACUGAAGGGUGGGGCCACCUCCAGAGAAAGGUACAGCUGCUGAAUAUUCCCGAGAGCUUUGCCUUCAAUGUCCUUCCCUCACACCAAGCCACAUUCACCCCUGUUUUCCCAGGAUGACCUCCAAGAACUGCAGUCAGGUUUGACCUAGGUUCCUGUGGAGACUUUGCUCUGCCCUGGGACCCAGUGCACGUGAAAGUCUGUGUGGGCCUUUUAAGAAUGGGGUCUUCGUUCCCCCAGUCGUGUGGCGCUCCUGCGCACAAGCCCCACCGGCCUUCAUGCCAGAUGCUCCAGGGGCUCUUUCUCCCUAUGCCGGAUCCCUGCAUGUGAGGGUUUGAUGUGGGGCUCUCACUCCUGUAGGUGAGUCUCUGUGAACCAGUUAGUUUUCAGUCUGUGGGGCUUCCCACCCGGGAGGUAUGGGGUUGUUUAUAUGGUGAAAUCGCCCCUCCUACCUCUUGAUGUGGCCUCCUCUUUUUCUUCUGGAGUAGGGUAUCUUUUGUAAGAUUUCCAGUCCAUUUGGGUGGAGAUUGCUCAGCGUUUAGUUGUGAAUUUUGUUGUUUUUAGGAGAGAAGUUGAACUCCAGUCCUUCUAUUCCACCAUCUUAAUCCUGUCUCUCCUCGUAAAUCAUGUGUCAUUACCAUUUUAAAAUUGUGUACUAAAAGUAGAUAUUGAUAUCUGUUGUUUCAUAACCCUUGUUACUUUCCUUUUAAAAUUACAUAUGUCUUGGCCAUUUAUUUUGCCAAAUAAAUUUUAAAAAUGUCUACUUUCUUAAACGUACAAAUUAAUUUGAAAGGUAUCAGUCAGACUUGCAAUAUUAAGUCUUGGCAUCCAAGACUAAGGUAUAUACAUCUUUACUUUUUCAAGUUGUCUUUUGUUUUCCUCAGGAGACUUUUGUAGUUCAUCUCACAUGUGUUGUGCACACUCUUGUUUGUUUAUAGGUAUUGUAUGGUUUUAUUAUGAUUGUGAUUUCAAACAUAUUUUUCAUUAAUUUUCAGACUCACCUGUGCUGACACAUACACACACACAGAGACAGAGAGACAGUGCCGUGUUUUCUUGUCAUCCGUAAAAGUUGCCAAAUUGUUUCCUAAAAAUUUUUUAUAAUGAUUUUUAUUUUUUCCAUUAUAGCAGGUUUACAGUGUUCUCUCAGUUUUCCACUAUACAGCAAGAUGACCCAGUCACACAUACAUGUAUACAUUUUUUUUUCUUACAUUAUCAUGCUCCAUCGUAAGUGACUAGAUAUUGUUCCCAGUGCUAUACAGCAGGAUCCCAUUGCUUAUCCAUUUCAACAGCAGUGUUUCCUGUAGUAGAUAAUUUUCAGUAGCAUGAUAUUUUCCCAAGUCCUUUUUAUUAAUUUUCCUGUCUUUUGUUCUUCAACAGCUUUCCAUGGGCCAUCAUUUUUUUUCCUUUAUUUACCUUCAAAUCAGAAAGUGAUCCCUCCAGAAUUAGUAUUUACCAAAGCACAGGUCAGAAGCUACUUUCUCUUUACUGUCAAGCAAUUCGAGCAGCCCUAUUUCAGGGGAGAAGCAUGUAUAGGUCAUUAUUGAGUUUCUUCUUCCAGAUUCACUUACCUUGUAGUAAUUAUGAAUUGUAUUGAAUUUUUUAGAAUUAUUUUUAUUUGUCCUUCUUUCUAUUCCUUCCUUGGUAUUUUAGUAAGAAUUUGGCAGAGAUACUGUCAAGAGAUGUAUAAUCAGGUAACAUUUUGAACAAAAAGUGAGAAAUGGGCUAUUAAAUGUUUCUUCUCAUUCUCCCAUGUUUUAUACACUAAAAUAAAUAGAGCUUUACUCUCUCCUUCGCCAAAGAAUU